GGAUUACAGGGAAAGUUUUUUUAAUUUAAUAAUUGAAGUUAUUUUAAUUUGUGAAGAAACAAUUAUAUAAAUUAAAGACAAGAAGACCCUAAGAAUUUAAGAAUUUUUAUUAAUAUAUUAUAUGUAUAUAUAUAUAAAUAAAAUUCUUAGUUGGGGCAACUAAAAAAUAUAUUAAACUUUUUUUUUAAAAAAAUGACCCAUUAUUAAUGAUAAUAUGAAAAAAA
rnacentral:rRNA from 1 species